AGGGGUAAGGCUCUUUCGAGAGUACACGACCGGCGCACGGGUGCGUAACGCGUAUGCAACCUACCUUUAACAGAGAGAUAGCCCCGAGAAAUCGGGAUUAAUAUCACAUAACACCAUAGUAUUGCAUAAUACCAUGGUUAAAGCUCCGGCGGUUAAAGAUGGGCAUGCGUGACAUUAGUUUGUUGGUGAGGUAACGGCUCACCAAGACUACGAUGUCUAGGGGUUCUGAGAGGAUGAUCCCCCACACUGGUACUGAGACACGGACCAGACUCC
rnacentral:rRNA from 2 species